UGGGGAAUCUUGCACAAUGGGGGCAACCCUGAUGCAGCGACGCCGCGUGAGCGAUGAAGCCCUUCGGGGCGUAAAGCUCUUUCGACCGGAACGAUAAUGACGGUACCGGGAGAAGAAGCUGCGGCUAACUACGUGCCAGCAGCCGCGGUAAUACGUAGGCAGCAAGCGUUGUUCGGAGUUACUGGGCGUAAAGAGUGCGUAGGCGGUUUUUUAAGUUCGGUGUGAAAUCUCCCGGCUUAACUGGGAGGGUGCGCCGAAGACUGGGAAGCUGGAGUGUGGGAAAGGCAGGCGGAAUUCCCGGUGUAGCGGUGAAAUGCGUAGAUAUCAGGAGGAACAACGGCGGUGUAGACGGCUUGCUAGACAAUAACUGACGCUGAGGCACGAAAGCGUGGGUAGCAAACA
rnacentral:rRNA from 1 species